UAAUGAAAAUAAGUUACGAGAGCACUUCGAAAAUUAUAACUUUCCCAAAGUUUUAAGCGAAUAAACCACCACAAUCAAAUAAGUUAACACCGCAAUUUAGGUGCAAUUUCGCACGGAUAUCAAAUUAUUUAUUAAAUAUCAAGCGUAAUAUAUAUUACAGGAACUGAUACUCGCCACCCAACUCUCAGCGAAAUAUUUGUGUAUAAAUGUGAAAUAAUUCAACUGUGCUACGCAGAUAUUAUUUUUGUUGAUUAAUCGUUCAAAGUGAUCUUGUGGAUGCAGAAUUGCAGAAGUUAAAAAGUGUCCCAAUGUGAAACCAAAUGU